ACAAACACAAAUAUUGUAGUUUGAUCCCAGCAUGACAAAGCUUUCCUAUUUUUACUUGCAAACGGAGAACAAGUAGCUUUAUAUGCAACAUCUGGAAGACAUUCGCACAUGCAAAGGGAGAAUGUUUGCCAUGUGUUUCCUGCAAUGCUGCCAUAUGUUUGACCAUAUGUUAACUAAGCAACAUUGUUAUGUUUGCAUGAUUAGUUUAAGUCUGUAGAUGAAAUCAAUUUUUCACACGAAGGACGGUUACAUAAGACUUAACAUAUUUAGAAAUCACUUUGCUUUCUUGCACUACUCUCAGUAUAUUGGACACUGAACACGCAGUAUUGUUGAAUUGUGGCAGCUGGGUAUGAUCUAUGCCCAAUUAACUCUUUUUCAAAGUACAAAUGAAGCGAAAUGAGUUUUUAGGCAGUUCCACAUGUACAGAGCCACAAUAUCCUGAAGCAAUAUGAAAGUCAACAAGCAUCUGGAGACAAAGAUAACCAGUCUCAGUUGAUGAAGAGCUUAUGCAAUCAUGUAAUAACACACAGAGCCGUCAGUGAAUGUGCUACGAGGAUAUUCGUGUUACAAAGGUAGAUAGAACUUGUGUUGAUGUUCUUCUUGUUUUUGUCAUGUGACUUUCAGAGAGCCUGUCAGACAAUGCGUCAGCAUUUAGCAGUAGAGCCAAGCAGCUCCAUAGAAGGAUGUGGUGGAGAGACAUGAAGAUGAAAAUGAUUGUGGCAUUGGUUGUGGUCAUCCUUCUGCUUAUUAUAAUCAUUCCUGUGAUCUUGCGGUAUCGCUAGUGUCUGGCAGGGAGGUUAGAGGCGCAAUGUUCUCUUCCUCCCACCUCUUCUGCAUCUUUCUGCUGUCAUUCCUCCGAGCCAGAGGGGGGCGCUGCACAGAGUUGGGCUGCCCACUGUGUUUGCCUGUUUGGGCAGGGUCUGGAAACAUAACAAACUGGGGCAGAGUUUCAUUUGUGUGUGUGUGUGUGUGUGUGUGUGUGUGUGUGUGUGUGUGUGUGUGUGUGUGUGUGUGUGUGUGUGUGUGUGUGUGUGUGUGUGACACAAAUUUUUUAUCACGACAAUGGCACAACACUGCUGCAGACCUGUCUCUUGUAGGCAUACAUACACAAAACUACUGUAAUUAAAAGUAAACGAAGGUCAUUUUUGUUGUAUAUGCAUUCGGUAACAUGAAGACAAACUUACAGCUCUGCAUUCUUUUUUCGUUUUUAUUGCAAAGUCGUUUUAGUUCAUUAAAAGUGUACACAACCACACAUACACGUUCCUUGGAAUACGUUCUUCUCAGGAGGGUGGGGGCAAUAAGAAAAAAUGGGUAAGGCUGAACAGGAAAUGACAUGUGACGAUGUCACUGUGUGUGUUUAAAUUAGAUGGACUACUAUAACUACUCUGAAAGGCAAGUAAUGGAUUUCUGUAAUGUUUGCUGCUAUUGCCAUUUUUAAGUUUAAUAAUCACAGUUAAUUGUGUUGAGUCGUUAUUAUUUGUUAUUUGCUUUUUCUUCAUGCUUGUAAAUGGUUUAUGUACAGAUUGUAAUACUUUUGUUCACUGGUGUCAUUUUAGCAGCGUGUUGAUUGGUCAGUGAUGUGAUGGAUGUGUGUGAUGAUGAUUUGAUUGAGACACACCUGUGAACUUGCUUCAGGACAUUUAAUUUGACUGACUAUUCUAUGUCAUUUUUAAUUUAUUGGUAAAUAUCCAUUCCCAUGACAUUGGCUUUGUGCUGGAGGACUGAAUUACUUAUACAUUUGAAAUAAAGUGAUUUUAAAUGGCAUUUGAUCUGAUUUAUUGUGAAAAACGUCAGAAGUGGUGCAUUUAAAUGUAAUGCCAGUUUAUACUGUGAAAUAAAAUGUUAUCUUAAAGGGAUGCUUCACCCAAAAACGAA